rnacentral:rRNA from 1 species
AGACGUCUACGAGUUUGUCAUGGCUCAGAACGAACGCUGGCGGCAUGCCUAACACAUGCAAGUCGAACGAACCCUUCGGGGUUAGUGGCGCACGGGUGCGUAACGCGUGGGGAUCUGCCCAAAGGUUCGGAAUAACUCAGAGAAAUUUGAGCUAAUACCGGAUAAUGUCUUCGGACCAAAGAUUUAUUGCCUUUGGAUGAACCCGCGUAGGAUUAGCUUGUUGGUGGGGUAAAGGCCUACCAAGGCGACGAUCCUUAGCUGGUCUGAGAGGAUGAUCAGCCACACUGGGACUGAGACACGGCCCAGACUCCUACGAGAGGCAGCAGUGGGGAAUAUUGGACAAUGGGCGAAAGCCUGAUCCAGCAAUGCUGCGUGAGUGAUGAAGGCCUUAGGGUUGUAAAGCUCUUUCAGUGGGGAAGAUAAUGACUGUACCCACAGAAGAAGCCCCGGCUAACUCCGUG